AGAGGCUAAUAUGGAACAGGAACUUCAAGAUCAGAUAAAAGCCCUUGUUGCAAAUGAACCUGGUGUUCUAGGAGCUGUUUGCUUUAACAAGCAAGGGCUUGUGCUCUGCAAAGAAGGCAGUGUCACAGACUCACUAGCGUACAAUAUUUCUCUCCUAGCAAAGCACAGCGCUUCCCUCGAGGAUGCAGGGACAGUUCCUGUCACCUGCAUUGAGUUCAGUACCCUCAAAAUUGUGAUGAAGCAAACAGAAAAAGUGGUGUUUGCUAUAAUAUCUGAAUGUGUCUGACAGAGUAAAACGGACUUGGGUAUUAUGUUCAAUGUGGUAAUUAUUCAAAUUCAAUCUAUUGCUUGAAUCUUGUGAAGGAGAAUAUUUGAUUUAUGAAAUACGAGCAAAUCUGAAUAUGCUUGAUAAUGCAAGUUAUUUUAAUGACUGAUUGAAGAGCAAAUCAAUUCAAUUGUCAAAUUAAUUAUGUCUUAGAUUUGUGCUAUUAAUUAUAGCUAUUAAACAAAAAGCUUCAAUUUCCAAAAUGUAUCAAUCGAAUAAACCAAUAAUUGAAUAUAAACUUGUAUAGUAGUAACUAGUAAAGAACUAAAUGCAGGUAAUUGUUAAACUUUAACCUUUAAAAUAAGUUUUCAAUGUAACCUCCAUGAGCCAGGGUUUUUGUUUACGUUUUUGCAGAUGAUUAUUGAUUAUGUGUACAGCGAAAAACAUGUUUUGUUGUGUUUGGUUCAGCUUUAAAAAAUUGACGUUGCUAUAAUAUUUUGAUUU